rnacentral:rRNA from 1 species
GAAAAGAAACUAACAAGGAUUCCCCUAGUAGCGGCGAGCGAAGCGGGAAGAGCUCAAAUUUAUAAUCUGGCACCUUCGGUGUCCGAGUUGUAAUCUCUAGAAGUGUUUUCCGCGUUGGACCGCACACAAGUCUGUUGGAAUACAGCGGCAUAGUGGUGAAACCCCCGUAUAUGGUGCGGACGCCCAGCGCUUUGUGAUACACUUUCAAUGAGUCGAGUUGUUUGGGAAUGCAGCUCAAAUUGGGUGGUAAAUUCCAUCUAAAGCUAAAUAUUGGCGAGAGACCGAUAGCGAACAAGUACCGUGAGGGAAAGAUGAAAAGCACUUUGGAAAGAGAGUUAACAGUACGUGAAAUUGUUGGAAGGGAAACGCUUGAAGUCAGACUUGCUUGCCGGAGCUUGCUUCGGUUUGCAGGCCAGCAUCAGUUUUCCGGGGUGGAUAAUGACGGUUUGAAGGUAGCAGUCUCGGCUGUGUUAUAGCUUUCCGUUGGAUACGCCCUGGGGGACUGAGGAACGCAGCGUGCUUUUUGCGAAAGACUCGUCUUUUUCACGCUUAGGAUGCUGGUGGAAUGGCUUUAAACGACCCGUU